rnacentral:lncRNA from 1 species
UCUAUUUUUUUUAUAUAUAAACUCUUUUGUUUUUGUUUUUAUUAGAUUUUCUUGUAUAUUAAUUUAUAUUUUGUUUGAUUGUUUUUUCUCAGGAUACUGUGGAAGCGAGCUGUAUGGGUAUUCUUUUCUCAUUCAUUUAAGCUUUAUUGUCUAAACGUCCGGAGUUAUGCUUGCAUGGCUUUCGGUUAGAUGAUAAACUUUCUUGAAAGAAAGAAAUCCCGGUUGCGGUUUAUUGUAUUUCGAUACAAUUCAUCUACGAUUAUGUAGACCAUACAAAAAAAAAAAAAA